UAUGAUGUUAUAAUAAAUUCGUCAUGAUUAACAAAUUUAGAAUUAUCAUACCACAAGGGGGGCAAAUAUAAUUUUUGAAAAAAAACCAGGAGAAACGAAAAUAAAAGAGAAAAUAUAAUAUUUGAAAUCGAAAAUAGGGGAAAAAAUGUUAAAAAAUGGGUUCGAACCUGGAACCUAAAAUGGAAAAAUCGGAAAAAAUAGAGAAAAACAUGCUAAAUCUAGGAAUUGAUUGUGGAACCUCCUAGCUAGAAACCACCACACCUACCAUUGAGCUACAUGUUCUUUGGUUUUUAUUUGUGGUUUUUAAUAGUUUUGAACAUGCUUAUGUGGCAACCCUUGCGCAGG
rnacentral:lncRNA from 1 species